rnacentral:rRNA from 1 species
AUUGAACGCUGGCGGCGUGCCUAACACAUGCAAGUCGAGCGGUAACAGGUGUAGCAAUACAUGCUGACGAGCGGCGGACGGGUGAGUAACGCUUGGGAAUCUGCCUAUUAGUGGGGGACAACCCGGGGAAACUCGGGCUAAUACCGCAUACGCUCUACGGAGGAAAGCCGGGGACCGCAAGGCCUGGCGCUAAUAGAUGAGCCCAAGUCGGAUUAGCUAGUUGGUAGGGUAAUGGCCUACCAAGGCGACGACCCGUAACUGGUCUGAGAGGACGACCAGUCACACCGGAACUGAGACACGGUCCGGACUCCUACGGGAGGCAGCAGUGGGGAAUAUUGGACAAUGGGCGAAAGCCUGAUCCAGCGACNCCGGGCGUGGGUGAAGAAGGCCUGCGGGUUGUAAAGCCCUUUCAGUGGGGAAGAAAAGCCUCGACCUAACACGUCGGGGUCUUGACGUAACCCAUAGAAGAAGCACCGGCUAACUC